rnacentral:rRNA from 1 species
AACGCGAAGAACCUUACCAGGGUUUGACAUGCUCUCUAUGAGUUCCUGAAAGGGAGCUCUUCAGUUCGGCUGGGAGAUGCACAGGUGCUGCAUGGCUGUCGUCAGCUCGUGUCGUGAGAUGUUGGCCAGAAUUUAAAUAAUAAGUUUGGCCCGCAACGAGCGCAACCCUCGUCCUCUGUUGCUAACAGGUCAAGCUGAGAACUCUGAGGAAACUGCCGGUGAUAAGCCGGAGGAAGGUGGGGAUGACGUCAAGUCCUCAUGGCCCUUACACCCUGGGCUACACACGUGUUACAAUGGUGGUGACAAUGGGUCGCGAUCCCGCAAGGGCUAGCUAAUCCCCAAAAGCCACCUCAGUUUGGAUUGUACUCUGCAACUCGAGUACAUGAAAUUGGAAUCGCUAGUAAUCGUGGAUCAGCACGCCACGGUGAAUACGUUCCCGGGCCUUGUACACACCGAUAGC